AGAAUCAACGCUGGCGGCGUGCCUAACACAUGCAAGUCGAACGAGAAAGUGGAGCAAUCCAUGAGUAAAGUGGCGCACGGGUGAGUAACACGUGACUAACCUACCCUUGAGUGGGGGAUAACCUAGGGAAACCUGGGCUAAUACCGCAUAAUACCUUCGGGUCAAAGGAGCAAUUCGCUUUAGGAGGGGGUCGCGGCCGAUUAGUUAGUUGGCGGGGUAAUGGCCCACCAAGACUGUGAUCGGUAUCCGGCCUGAGAGGGCGCACGGACACACUGGAACUGAAACACGGUCCAGACUCCUACGGGAGGCAGCAGUGGGGAAUUUGCGCAAUGGGGGAAACCCUGACGCAGCAACGCCGCGUGGAGGAUGAAGCCCCUUGGGGCGUAAACUCCUUUCGAUCGGGAAGAUAAUGACGGUACCGAGAGAAGAAGCCCCGGCUAACUUCGUGCCAGCAGCCGC
rnacentral:rRNA from 1 species